CUCAAAGCAAGCAGAAACAGAUCACCUGAUACUUCAAGCGUCCUUAAAGGGUGAACUGGAGGCAAGCCAGCAGCAAGUAGAAGUCUAUAAAAUUCAGCUGGCUGAAAUAACAGCUGAGAAGCACAAGGCUCACGAGCACCUCAAAGCCUCUGCAGACCAGCACCAGCACACACUGGGUGCAUACCAACAAAAAGUGACAGCCCUUCAGGAGGAGUGCCGUGCUGCCAAGGUGCAUUCUCCACACACAGCUGCUGUCAGCACAGAGCAGGCAGCUUACUUGAGGACUUAUGUUUCACUUUUUACUGUUUCCUAUUGUUUAAAAACACUUACUAGAUGAAUACCCAGUUCUGUUCAUCUACCCUUGAACCCAGAUUCCUUCCCAAUCCUGUCAAAAAAAAAAAGACAGAUAAUAUCUUGUUUAUAUUUCAACUGUGUGAUUCCUAUAAGAAAGUUACUUUAAAAAAAUUUACUGGGAGUCGGGCGGUGGCGCAGUAGGUUAAACGCACGUGGAG